UACGUAGGGUCCAAGCGUUAUCCGGAAUCACUGGGCGUAAAGCGUGCGUAGGUGGCGUGUUAAGUGAGAUGUUAAAUCGUGGGGCUCAACCCUGUCGGUGGCAUCUCAUACUGGCGAUGCUAGAGGACGGCAGAGGCAAGUGGAAUUUGUAGUGUAGCAGUGAAAUGCGUAGAUAUUACAAGGAACACCAAUGGCGAAGGCAGCUUGCUGGGCUACGUCCUGA
rnacentral:rRNA from 1 species